GACGAACGCUGGCUGCGUGCUUAACACAUGCAAGUCGAACGGUGAAAGGGAGCUUGCUCCCUGGAUCAGUGGCGAACGGGUGAGUAACACGUGGGCAACCUGCCCCUCACUCUGGGAUAACUCCGGGAAACCGGGGCUAAUACCGGAUACGACCUGGUGCGACAUCGCACCGGGUGGAAAGAACUUCGGUGGGGGAUGGGCCCGCGGCCUAUCAGCUUGUUGGUGGGGUAACGGCCCACCAAGGCGACGACGGGUAGCCGGCCUGGGAGGGCGAACGGCCAGACUGGGACUGGGAUACCGCCCGGACUCCUACGAGAGGCAGCAGUGGGGAAGAUUGCGCAAUGGGCGAAAGCCUGACGCAGCUACGCAGCGUCGGGGACGACGGCCUUCGGGUUGUAAACCUCUGUCAGCGGGGACGAAGCGAAAGUGACGGUACGCGCAGAAGAAGCACCGGCUAACUACGUGCCAGCCGCCACCGUAAAAC
rnacentral:rRNA from 1 species